GCCGGGUGCGGUGGCGCGCACCUGUAAUCCAAGUUACCGGGAGGCUGAGGCUGGCGGAUCGUUUGAGCUCAGGAGUUCUGAGCUGCAGCGGACUAUGCCGAUCGGGUGUCCGCACUAAGUUCGGUAUCGAUAUGGUGCUCCUGGGGGAGCCCGGGACCCCCAGGUCGUCUAAGGAGGGGUACACCGGCCCAGGCCGGAGACGGAGCAGGCCAAAGCCCCCGUGCCAUUCAGUAGUGGGAUCGCGCCUGUGAAUAGACGCUGUAGAGCAGCCUGAGUAAUACAGCGGGACCCAGUCUUUU
ensembl:misc_RNA Metazoa_SRP Metazoan signal recognition particle RNA